CCUGAAGUGGGGGAUAACCAUUGGAAACGAUGGCUAAUACCGCAUAAUACCUACGGGUCAAAGAGGGGGACCUUCGGGCCUCUCGCGUCAGGAUAUGCCUAGGUGGGAUUAGCUAGUUGGUGAGGUAAUGGCUCACCAAGGCGACGAUCCCUAGCUGGUCUGAGAGGAUGAUCAGCCACACUGGAACUGAGACACGGUCCAGACUCCUACGGGAGGCAGCAGUGGGGGAAUAUUGCACAAUGGGCGCAAGCCUGAUGCAGCCAUGCCGCGUGUGUGAAGAAGGCCUUCGGGUUGUAAAGCACUUUCAGUCGUGAGGAAGGUGGUGUAGUUAAUAGCUGCAUUAUUUGACGUUAGCGACAGAAGAAGCACCGGCUAACUCCGUGCCAGCAGCCGCGGUAAUACGGAGGGUGCGAGCGUUAAUCGGAAUUACUGGGCGUAAAGCGCAUGCAGGUGGUUUGUUAAGUCAGAUGUGAAAGCCCGGGGCUCAACCUCGGAAUAGCAUUUGAAACUGGCAGACUAGAGUACUGUAGAGGGGGGUAGAAUUUCAGGUGUAGCGGUGAAAUGCGUAGAGAUCUGAAGGAAUACCGGUGGCGAAGGCGGCCCUCUGGACAGAUACUGACACUCAGAUGCGAAAGCGUGGGGAGCAAACAGGAUUAGAUACCCUGGUAGUCCACGCCGUAAACGAUGUCUACUUGGAGGUUGUGGCCUUGAGCCGUGGCUUUCGGAGCUAACGCGUUAAGUAGACCGCCUGGGGAGUACGGUCGCAAGAUUAAAGCUCAAAUGAAUUGACGGGGGCCCGCACAAGCGGUGGAGCAUGUGGUUUAAUUCGAUGCAACGCGAAGAACCUUACCUACUCUUGACAUCCAGAGAACUUUCCAGAGAUGGAUUGGUGCCUUCGGGAACUCUGAGACAGGUGCUGCAUGGCUGUCGUCAGCUCGUGUUGUGAAAUGUUGGGUUAAGUCCCGCAACGAGCGCAACCCUUAUCCUUGUUUGCCAGCACUUCGGGUGGGAACUCCAGGGAGACUGCCGGUGAUAAACCGGAGGAAGGUGGGGACGACGU
rnacentral:rRNA from 1 species